CCCCGGGCCUUGCGUAACAGAUGACUGUUAACCCCGUCAGAUCUGGAAGGAAGCAGCGGUCCGCAUGUUCAGCUGUGUCGCAACCAGUCUGGAGGUC
rnacentral:SRP_RNA from 1 species